UCUUAUCUAUUAAAAUGGAUUGAAAGUAAAACAAGGAAGACGUUUGACUGUGUCAGUUCAGAUGUAUUAUUAUAAUAUGAUAUUAUGAUGCUUCUUGGUCUGUCCGGUAUCACCACCUGAAAUCAGCCAUCCCUUCAUUUAGCCUUGUAACAGGGGAUCUAACAGUGAUCUGCUGUAAGUAUUGAAUGAAAAAAACUGAAACAGAAAGAAUCAUAAACGGAGCACAACAGACUCAAAGGCAGUUUUUGAGCCUUCAAACACUAUUGGAAAGAAAAUGGGAUUGUUAUCUUGCUAUUAUCAAUAUUGAUUUAUAGUCUCAGAUGCUGACCUAGAAAGCAGCAGACUGUGAAUUUUAGUCCCACCAUAAGGAUGAAAGCUGACUGGAUGACUUUGGGCCAACCACUCUCUCUCAGCCCAAUUUAACUCACCAUGUUUUUGUAAGGAAAAUAGGAAAGAUAUGCCAGGAUGUCAGAUUUUCAAAACAGGAAACAGGAAUCACAUUAUAGCUCCAGCUCAGUAGAAUCUCAUCUACUCGGUUCUGGUCCCAGAAACUUUUCUUUCCCUGCACAUGACGGCAAGAAACGUGACAGAGAAAUGCAAUGGACCUGGAAAUCAGCUUCCAGAUCUUGGCUAUGAUCUUGGGAUACCAUGGUUCUCUUCUUUUCUAUGUGGACAAUGGAGUCAGUGAUCAUUGGGAGAAAUCCAGCCUUUAAGAUAAAAUAUUCCGGUGAAGGAAUAAUAUGCGGUCUUCCAGAUGUGAUUGCUCCCAGGAACUCCCACCAUUUGCCAUAUAGCCUAAAGCAGAGAACAGCUGCAGUUUAACCAUCUAAGGCCAUUCUUUCUUUAUCUGUCAAACAGACAGAUAGCUAAGGACGUUCGUGUGAGCAUCCUGGAUGUCUUCCUUUUCAAACAAUUUAAUUUUGCUUAACAUUCUCUAUGUUUAGAUGUUAAAACAUGCUCAAGUAACUAUUAUGUUUUGCUUUAAGACAAAUGGGUAGUAAAGAAGCAAUUUUAGAAUCACAAACAUUCAAACAAUAUCACUGAUAUAAAUGAGAAUCACAACUGAUUAAACUACGUCAUUCUGAAAAAA